AUUCCUACGGGAGGCAGCAGUGGGGAAUUUUCCACAAUGGGCGAAAGCCUGAUGGAGCAACGCCGCGUGUGUGAUGAAGGUUUUCGGAUCGUAAAGCACUUUCGACUGGGACGAAAAACCUUUGGCUAACAUCCAGGGGCCUGACGGUACCAGGAGAAGAAGCACCGGCUAACUCUGUGCCAGCAGCCGCGGUAAUACAGAGGGUGCAAGCGUUGUUCGGAAUUAUUGGGCGUAAAGCGCGUGUAGGCGGCUUUGCAAGUCAGAUGUGAAAGCCCUCGGCUUAACCGAGGAAGUGCGUCUGAAACUGCAGAGCUUGAGUGUCGGAGAGGAUGGCGGAAUUCCGCAAGUAGAGGUGAAAUUCGUAGAUAUGCGGAGGAACACCGGUGGCGAAGGCGGCCAUCUGGACGACGACUGACGCUGAGACGCGAAAGCGUGGGGAGCAAACAGGAUUAGAUACCCUGGUAGUCCACGCCGUAAACGAUGUCGACUAGCCGUUGGGAUCCUUGAGAUCUUAGUGGCGCAGCUAACGCGAUAAGUCGACCGCCUGGGGAGUACGGCCGCAAGGUUAAAACUCAAAUGAAUUGACGGGGGCCCGCACAAGCAGCGGAGCGUGUGGUUUAAUUCGAGGCAACGCGAAGAACCUUACCUGGGCUUGACAUCUACGGAACCUCCUGGAAACAGGAGGGUGCCUUCGGGAACCGUAAGACAGGUGCUGCAUGGCUGUCGUCAGCUCGUGUCGUGAGGUGUUGGGUUAAGUCCCGCAACGAGCGCAACCCCUGUCCUUAGUUGCCAGCGGGUCAUGCCGGGCACUCUAGGGAGACUGCCGGUGUCAAGCCGGAGGAAGGUGGGGAUGACGUCAAGUCCUCAUGGCCUUUAUGCCCAGGGCUACUCACGUGCUACAAUGGCCGGUACAAAGGGUCGCGAUCCCGCGAGGGCGAGCAAAUCCCAAAAAACCGGCCUCAGUUCAGAUUGGGGUCUGCAACUCGACCCCAUGAAGGCGGAAUCGCUAGUAAUCCCGGAUCAGCACGCCGGGGUGAAUACGUUCCCGGGCCUUGUACACACCGCCAUCCAUAUGA
rnacentral:rRNA from 1 species